rnacentral:rRNA from 1 species
UACAGAGGUCCCAAGCGUUGUUCGGAUUCAUUGGGCGUAAAGGGUGCGUAGGCGGCGCGGUAAGUCGGGUGUGAAAUCUCGGAGCUUAACUCCGAAACUGCAUUCGAUACUGCGGUGCUUGAGGACUGGAGAGGAGACUGGAAUUCAUGGUGUAGCAGUGAAAUGCGUAGAGAUCAUGAGGAAGACCAGUGGCGAAGGCGGGGUCUCUGGACAGUUCCUGAC